ensembl:snRNA U6 U6 spliceosomal RNA
GUGCUCACUUCAGCAGCCCACAUACUAAAAUUGGAAUGAUUCAGAGAUUAGCACGACCCCUGUGCAAGGAUGACAUGAAAAUUCAUGAAAUAUUCCAUAUAAAU